GACGAACGCUGGCGGCGGGCCUAACACAUGCAAGUCGAGCGGAGCGGCGGACGGGCGAGUAAUGCCUAGGAAUCUGCCUGGUAGUGGGGGAUAACGUCCGGAAACGGGCGCUAAUACCGCAUAAUAUCAGAUGAGCCUAGGUCGGAUUAGGUAGUUGGAGGGGUAAAGGCAUACCAAGGCUACGAUCCGUAACUGGUCGGAGAGGAUGAUCAGUCACACUGGAACUGAGACACGGUCCAGACUCCUACGGGAGGCAGCAGUGGGGAAUAGUGGACAAUGGGCGAAAGCCUGAUCCAGCCAUGCCGCGUGUGGGAAGAAGGUCUUCGGAUUGUAAAGCACUUUAAGUUGGGAGGCGUUACCGACAGAAUAAGCACCGGCUAACUUCGUGCCAGCAGCCGCGGUAAUUC
rnacentral:rRNA from 1 species